AAGUUAACACGUAAGUACCUCGCCUGGGAACUACGGUUGCAAGACUAAAACUUAAGGGAACUGGCGGAAGAGUUAACUGAUGGUGGCGCUUGGGAGUUAAUUGGAGAAUACACCAAAAAUCUUACCGAGACAUAAAUCAUUGUAAACUUAUAAGUAAGCAAUCAAAGUUUUGAUUACUAGAUUUUAAGACAAAUUAUUAUAUUUGAAUAUAUAUGUUAGAAAUAUAUAUUAAUGAUGGACCAGAGUGCAUGGUUGUCACAAGUCCGUGCCGUGAGGUGUAAGGGUAAUUCCAUUAAACGGACGCAACCCAAGUAUAUUUAUAUGAAACUAAUAUACUUUUGGACUAGCGACAAAUUGCAUGCUUGAGUUUCGGGCUUUUCUUACGCGACAAAAAAGAGAUGAACAAAAUGUAUCAUAAAAUAAAGUAUUCAGAAACUCUCUUAUAUAUAGUUUUAUUGUUGGAAUUAUCUUUUGAAACUUAAAGAUAUAAACUAGGAAUCAUCAGUAAUCGUAUAUUACGAUGGUACGGUGAAAACGUUCUAACUCUUAGUACACACCGCCCGACACGGGUUGGGAUCUUAUAAUACUUAUGAAUAUUUACUUUUACUUUAUGCCAAAAGCAAUUUAAAAAAAACUAUUAGGACAUAUUAUAGGACACUGAUACGAAGUCGUAACAAGGUGGUGGCACGGGAAUGUGUCGCCGGAGCAUACUAUUCUAUUGAUAAAAAUAGAGAAUUAUAAAAACAGUUUAAACUAUCAAAAUAAAUAUCUAAAUAAAAUAUUCAGGAUGUAAUAUUUUAGAUACGUAGAUAAAAUAGUAUAAGAAAUUUUUUUAAUAUUUUAUAAGUAUUUAGAGAUAUAGAUCAUGGAAACAAAAAUUCAGCGUUAUCGUAUAAGGGUAGUACAUGAGGCUCAUCACCUUGAAGAAAUGGUUCGAGUCCAUUUAACGCUAAACUUUAUACUUAAAUUGGUUUGACAUAAAUAAUUUAAACGUAGAUAAAAUAUGUGAAGUCUUCACUUUUUUUAAAUUUGAUACCUAUUAUGUAAACAGAAUAACUUUUUUAAAUGUCUUUUUUACAAAAUUAAUAGUAAUAAUUGGUAGCUGUCGUCUAUAAUAGUAUCCAUAUUUGUGUCGAAGCCGAGCUAUGUGUUUUUGCUUAUAACUUAAAAAAUUAUUCGAUAAUAAAAUUCAUUGGAAGUCGUUAAACUUACAUUCUAAUAUUCUUGGUAGCAAAAUAUUCUAUAAUCGAUAAGGAUAUUAUUGAAAGAUAAUGUCAACGAAGAAGAAAAGUUAAUGCAUAAUAUGAGUAGUUCAACGCAGUAAACUGCGUCGCCGAAUAUUCGAAGAUUUUUAUUGGAUACGAUAACCGGAAUAAAAUUAGUCAGAAUUUAGGGAAUAUCUGAAAAGAAAAUCUCAUAGUAGUAUUUAAGAAUAAUUACUACAAGUUGGAACAUAUGCAUUUUUAAAUAGGGAAAUUAUAACUUGAAAUUUAGAAAUAAAUUAAAAGCAAAUAUAAAUUAAAACCUAUAAUAAAAUCAUAGCAAGAAAAACCACUUGAAUAAACUGUACUUAAACCGAUACAGGUGAAUUAGUAUAAACGUACUAAGGCGAAAGAGAAGUGUUUCGAAGGAACUCGGCAAAAUAAUCCUGUAGCUAUAGACAACUGGUAACAGUAGUAGAAGGGAAACCUUACUGGUAAUAUAAAAUAGGAGAGAGCGACUGUUUAUCAAAAACAUAAGACUCUGCAAAAUUGUAAAAUGAAAUAUAGGGUCUGGCAUCUGCCAUGUGAUGAGCGAUAAAGAGCAUUAUUACAAUAAAGCAUAUAAUUAUCAUCUAACGGCGGUCUUCGGAUCUUAAUGUAGCGCGAUACCUUGUCAGCUAAUUACUGACUUGCAUGAAUGAUGGAACGACUUUCUCACUGUCUCCGAAACAUACUUGAUGAAAUUGGCAUUUCCGUGAAGAUACGGAAUAAUUGCAAUAGGACGGAAAGACCCCAUGCACCUUUACUAUAAUCUAAUAUGGAGAUAAUACACAAUUAAAGAGGAAUGUGGGAGGAAAACCGUUAAUGAAAAACCACUUAAUAGUGACGAUUAUCAUCUAAUCGACGACCCUAAAUUCUUAAAUAAAGGUUCGGUAAUGUUACUAAACGUUUAUACUGUUAACGAUAUUAAAAUUUUAGACAUGAAAGGGGUCCCCUCGAGACAGUAUUAGACAGAUAGUUUCGCUGGGGCGGCGUUCUUCAAAAUAGUAACGAGGAAGUACAACGGUAAAUUCACUAAAAUGUUGCCCUAAUGGUAUAAAUUUGCCUGACUGUGAAGCAAACAUGCUAAACAGAAACGUAAGUUGGUCAUAAUGAACCAAUGUUUUUAAGUGGACAGAACAUUGCUCAUCGGAUAAAAGGUACGCUGGGGAUAACAGGCUGAUAACGUUUAAGUGUCCGAAGCGACGACGUUGUUUGGCACCUCGAUGUUGGCUCAUCACAUCCUGCGGCUGUAGGAGGUCGCAAUGGUUCGGCUGUUCUCCGAAUAAAGUGGUACGUGAGCUGAGUUCAGACCGUUGUGAAACAGGUUGGUUCCUAUCCAUUGUAAAAGUAUAUAAAAAAGAAUCCUUAUUUUAGUACGAGAGGACUUAAUUGGAAAAGCCGCUGGUUUAUUAAUUGUUUAAAAAAGCAUUGUUAAGUAGCUACGCUUUGGAAGACUAAUUAUUGACAAAACUAAAUAAGAAGUAGAUUUGUUUUUAUAACUAUCUUGUAUAAGACAAGUACUUAACGGAUGUUGGGCAUAAAAUUGUAAUAAUUAGACUGAAACAUACCGAGUAAAGAAAAUUAAAAGAUUUUUGA
rnacentral:rRNA from 1 species